GCUUCCCAGCAAAACCCGAUUGCCUGGUUCUGAGAGUGGAUGGAUUUGCUUUACAUCAUUCCUGCCCAUGGCAUGGAGACUGAUUCUUGCCAGGGCACAGAUAAAAGCCAUAACGGAACGGUGACAGAACAAAUGAAGCCCGUCCUUCAAAGCAAGCUAAGAAGUCCCACAGCCCACCGUCUGAAAGCUGUAGAAGCAAAAAUGCUGGUGGUAUAACUCAGUUGAAGGCUAAAGACCUGAGAAGCAGGGUGCUGCUGUUACAAGUCCUAGUCUGAAAGCCUCAGAACCAGGAGCACGGAUGUGUAACACCUGAGAGCAGGAAAAGACAGUUGUUCCAGCUCACUAAAGGAGAGAGAAUUUGUCUUUCCAUUCUA
ensembl:lncRNA